rnacentral:rRNA from 1 species
CCCUUAGAUGUUCUGGGCCGCACGCGCGCUACACUGACGAAGUCAGCGAGCAUGUCCUACGCCGACAGGUGCGGGGAAUCUUGUCAAACUUCGUCGUGAUGGGGAUUGAUUUUUGAAAUUCUUGAUCAUAAACGAGGAAUUCCUAGUAAGCGCAAGUCAGCAGCUUGCGUUGAUUACGUCCCUGCCCUUUGUACACACCGCCCGUCGCUACUACCGAUUGAAUGGUUUAGUGAGAUCUUCGGAUUGGCGCCACUGCAGCUCAGCAAUGGGCUUGGUGGAUGCCGAAAAGUUGAUCAAACUUGAUCAUUUAGAGGAAGUAAACGUCGUAACA